GCCGCGGGCCCCUCCCCAAGCCUGCAGGGGGCGCUGCGCUUGAGUGAGCCGGGGCGGGGCGCCGCUCUAGCCAGCGCCCGGACUCGGUGGCGGACGCGGCUCCGCGUUCCCCGCGCCUCCUCCCAGUGCAGACUUCACAGGCUGCCACCGGACCCUACCCCUGUCCUGAACCCUGAGCCGGCACCAUGCACGGGCGCCUGAAGGUGAAGACAUCAGAAGAGCAGGCAGAGGCUAAAAGGCUAGAGCGGGAGCAAAAGCUGAAGCUAUACCAAUCAGCCACCCAGGCCGUCUUCCAGAAGCGCCAGGCUGGUGAGCUAGAUGAGUCAGUACUGGAACUGACAAGCCAGAUUCUGGGAGCCAACCCUGAUUUUGCCACCCUCUGGAACUGCCGACGAGAGGUUCUCCUGCAGCUGGAGGCCCAAAAGUCCCCUGAGGAGUUGGCCACUCUGGUGAAGGCUGAGCUGAGCUUCCUGGAGAGCUGCCUGAGGGUGAAUCCUAAGUCCUAUGGUACCUGGCACCACCGUUACUGGCUGCUGGGACGACUACCUGAGCCCAAUUGGGCCCGGGAGCUAGAGCUGUGUGCCCGCUUCCUGGAGGUCGAUGAGCGGAACUUUCAUUGCUGGGACUAUCGGCGGUUUGUGGCUGCACAGGCAGCUGUGCCCCCUGCAGAAGAGUUAGCCUUUACUGACAGCCUCAUCACCCGAAACUUCUCCAACUAUUCCUCUUGGCAUUACCGCUCCUGCCUCUUGCCCCAGCUGCACCCUCAGCCAGACUCUGGACCACAGGGGCGCCUCCCUGAGGAUGUGCUUCUCAAAGAGCUGGAACUGGUGCAGAAUGCUUUCUUCACUGACCCCAAUGAUCAGAGUGCCUGGUUCUAUCACCGCUGGCUUCUGGGCCGAGCUGACCCCCAGGAUGCGCUGCGCUGCCUGCAUGUGAGCCGGGACGAGGCCUGUCUGACUGUCUCCUUCUCUCGGCCCCUUCUAGUGGGCUCCAGGACAGAGACCUUGCUACUCAUGGUUGAUGAGUCACCCCUGAUUGUGGAGUGGAGGACCCCAGAUGGCAGGAACCGGCCCAGCCAUGUCUGGCUCUGUGACCUGCCUGCUGCCUCCCUCAAUGACCAGUUGCCUCAACACACCUUUCGUGUUAUUUGGACAGCAGGUGAUGCCCAGAAAGAAUGUGUGCUUUUACAAGGCCGCCAAGAAUGCUGGUGCCGUGACUCCACUACAGAUGAGGAGCUAUUCAGGUACGAGCUGUCAGUAGAGAAGUCCACGGUGCUACAGUCUGAGCUUGAAUCCUGUAAGGAGCUGCAGGAGCUGGAACCUGAAAAUAAAUGGUGCCUGCUUACCAUCAUCCUGCUGAUGCGGGCGCUAGACCCCCUACUGUAUGAGAAGGAAACACUGCAGUAUUUCCAGACCCUCAAGGCCGUGGACCCCAUGCGGGCAGCCUAUCUGGAUGACCUGCGCAGCAAGUUCUUGCUGGAGAACAGCGUGCUCAAGAUGGAGUAUGCCGAGGUGCGCGUGCUGCACCUGGCUCACAAGGUAGGGGCACAGCGCACCGUCCCCUGGGCCUGCACUGCCAGCCUCCCCUGCUUUGGGCUUUGCCUUUAGUCUCAGGUGACUUUCUGGAUCUUUCCUUACAAUCAAGAUGGAUUCUACCCCAUCCUUGCAGCCUGCUCCUCUUCCUGGCCUUGCUUUUUGUCACUUGGCCCAUCAUUUUCCCUCUCAUUCAGUGCCAAAUCCUGAGUCACCAGGGCCCCCAAUGGUGCCUUUUCCCAAGAGCAGAUAGGUUUUUCCUGUAAAGUGACCCCUCGCCCAUCCCCUCACCCCCUCCAUUCCCAUCCUUCUCACCCUGGGGUGGGCACCAACUUAAAGGCCAAAUAGUAUCUAGAGAUUUCAGAUAAACAGUCCAGGCUCUACUUUUCUUCUGUCUCUAGUCCUUCCCAGUUUUAUGAUAUCACCACAGCCCACCUCUGUUCCCAUCAAACCCAUCCACAGACUCAGCUGGUCUGCUCCUGCCAGUAUCUUUGCUCACUAAUAUCUGCUGCACCUAUUACCCUCCAGGCCACCCUUCACACCCACCCCCACACCCACCACUUGCUGACGUUCCCAUAACAUGUAGCAGGUACCACCAUGGGCUAUAAGGACCUGACAGUUCUCUGCCACCUGGAACAGCUGCUCUUGGUCACUCAUCUUGACUUGUCACAUAAUCGUCUUCGAG